AUGACGUAUGUAAAUGACAAAUCCCACUUCCUGUUUCAAGGAGUCACACAGGACCUGAGGUUAUAUGUAUAUGUGCUGCCAGGAGCACAAAGACACUCUCAGCUUGAGGCAAAACUGAGCACAAUUGUGCAGGGGAAUCCAUGCCUCAUGGCGCUCUCCAGCCUGCUCUGGGUGUUCCUGGCCUUCACCUUCUCUGGAUCCAGUGUAGCCCAGAAAGUUAUUCAAGACCAGCCAGACAUAUCCAGUCGAGUUGAGGAGUCAGUUACCCUGAAUUGUCGGUAUGAAACAAGUUGGAGCAGUUACAGCAUUUUUUGGUACAAGCAACUUCCCAGUGGAGAGAUGAUUUUCCUUACAAGGGGUGGCCGUUACUCUACAAAUGUUGAGAGAUCACGUAAAUCAUCCAGCCUCACCAUUUCAACCUUACAAUUGGAAGAUUCUGCAAAGUACUUCUGUGCUCUCUGGGAACUCACAGUGCUUGAAGCAAUAGGAAAAGCUGAACAAAAACCCCCAAGCUUAAUAAGAGAAAGCCUCUCUCUGAUGUAG